CGGAGAGUUUGAUCCUGGCUCAGGAUGAACGCUAGCGGCGGGCCUAAUACAUGCAAGUCGAACGAUAUUAUCCAGCUUGCUGGAUAUGAAAGUGGCGCACGGGUGCGUAACGCGUAUGCAACCUACCUUAAUCAGGGGGAUAGCCCGAAGAAAUUCGGAUUAAGACCGCAUAAAAACACAGGAUAGCAUUAUCCAAUGUUCAAAUAUUUAUAGGAUUAAGAUGGGCAUGCGUGACAUUAGUUAGUUGGCGGGGUAACGGCCCACCAAGACCACGAUGUCUAGGGGAUCUGAGAGGAUGACCCCCCACACUGGUACUGAGACACGGACCAGACUCCUACGGGAGGCAGCAGUAAGGAAUAUUGGUCAAUGGAGGGAACUCUGAACCAGCCAUGCCGCGUGCAGGAUGACGGCCCUCUGGGUUGUAAACUGCUUUUAUUCGGGAAUAAACCUACUUACGUGUAAGUAGCUGAAUGUACCGAAGGAAUAAGGAUCGGCUAACUCCGUGCCAGCAGCCGCGGUAAUAUGGAGGAUCCAAGCGUUAUCCGGAUUUAUUGGGUUUAAAGGGUGCGUAGGCGGCUUUUUAAGUCAGGGGUGGAAGACGGUAGCUCAACUAUCGCAGUGCCCUUGAUACUGAAGAGCU
rnacentral:rRNA from 1 species